AUUUUGUGACAUUGUUCCUUGAGUCUUUCAGUUAGCUUUACUUCCUGUUUUAGUUUGUAGUUAGUCUGCCCUAGUGUAUCUUGUCUUGUUUUACUUCCUGCCUGUCCUUGAUUGUCUUAGUGGUUUCACCUGUGUGUAAUUAGGUUCUCACUCACCUGUGUAUUUUAGUGGUUGUCUGUCUUUCACUCAUUGCCAGUUCAUUUUAGAUGUUCCUGUGAAUCUUAUCUCUAGUUUCUCAUGCCCUUGUGGAUUUACACUUUUGUUGGACCUCACCAACUCUCCAGUUUCCGUCUCAGUGUCUGCAUUUGGGUCCUUCUUGUGAACUUCUGUUCGUCGUAACAUGUAACAUCAGAAUACAGGUAAACAGCGUAUGGUUAAAACGCAUCGUCUCACCAUAAGUGCGUACGUCAGUCCCAGCCCCACCAGACCGGUGGACAGCUGGUAGUAGAGGCAGUUAGUGAUGGAGGCUACAGCUGCCACGAGCACCACACAGGCUCCAACGUACUCCUGCAGAGAAAAUGUCAACCUUACAGCAAGAAGAUAAUGUCACUGAAUAAUUCAAAAAGGUUUUCUGCUCUGCUGCUGCGAAAAAUGAGAAGCCAAAUGAGCUGUGAGCAGCAUGCGGUUGAUACAUAAAACAGCACAUGAACAUGAAAUGUGAUCUCAGUAAGAAAGAGCAGUUGUUUGGCAGCAUUAACAACAAAUGUGAACCAGCUGCUGUCUAAACAGGGCUGAUCUGGAUCUGAGAGGACAGUAGACGGAUCAUUACCAUGCGGACCUCCAGCCAACGGUUGGCUGCUGUGAGGAAAAGAGAAGCGAUGUUGUUGGCGUCAGUGAACUGAAGUAGCCUCUGUCUGAACCUGGGCUCGUACCUGCCAACAGAAAAAGACAUGUCUCAGUUUUAUUUGUGCUUCUAUGUCCUGAGACU